UUUAUUGAAAUUGGGUUGUAU
ensembl:piRNA 21ur-6668 ncRNA